UUCAUACAAUGCACAAAGUUAAGUGUAAAAGUUUGUACACCCAUACUUUGAACAGGUAAAUCUGAUAAAUUUGAUGCAAGGUUUUACUACAAGGAACAAAAAUGUCUAAAAAGCCUAUGUUAAUAUAUUAAUUGUAAAAAUCUAAUGAUAUUUUUGAAAGUGAUAUAAAUAAAGGUCCAUCUCUUUGUUUUGUUGUAGUUCUUGUGGCAGCGAUCUAUCUUGGUUCCAUUUGACUUUCCACAGCAAACUGCUGUUUAAACUUUUCACGUCAAAAUAAACAAGUGAUCAACAAUUUUGAUGAGAUCAUUCUGCACUUCAGCUUCUCAGAAGAAGCUCGCUAGAAUCUGAGGUGUCCCGCCCCCGACAGCUGCAGGUUUCCUGG